UACGUAGGGUGCGAGCGUUGUCCGGAAUUAUUGGGCGUAAAGAGCUUGUAGGCGGUUUGUCGCGUCUGCUGUGAAAAUCCGGGGCUCAACCCCGGACUUGCAGUGGGUACGGGCAGACUAGAGUGUGGUAGGGGAGACUGGAAUUCCUGGUGUAGCGGUGAAAUGCGCAGAUAUCAGGAGGAACACCGAUGGCGAAGGCAGGUCUCUGGGCCACUACUGACGCUGAGAAGCGAAAGCAUGGAGAGCGAACAGG
rnacentral:rRNA from 1 species